CCUACGGGAGGCAGCAGUGGGGAAUAUUGCACAAUGGGGGAAACCCUGAUGCAGCGACGCCGCGUGCGUGAAGAAGUAUUUCGGUAUGUAACGCUCUAUCAGCAGGGAAGAAGCAAGCCGGUACCUGUCUAAGAAGCACCGGCUAACUACGUGCACGCAGCCGCGGUAAUAAGUAGGGGGCAAGCGUUCUCCGGAUUUACUGGGUGUAAAGGAAGCGUAGACGGUAUGGCAAGUCUGAAGUGAAAGCCCAGGGCUUAACACUGGGACUGCGUUGGAAACUGUUAGACUAGAGUGCUGGAGAGGUAAGUGGAAUUCCUAGUGUAGCGGUGAAAUGCGUAGAUAUUAGGAGGAACACCAGUGGCGAAGGCGGCUUACUGGACAGUAACUGACGUUGAGGCUCGAAAGCGUGGGGAGCAAACAGGAUUAGAUACCCCUGUAGUC
rnacentral:rRNA from 1 species